GGGGGAUUAGCUCAAGUGGUAGAGCGCUCGCUUUGCAUGCGAGAGGUACCGGGAUCGAUACCCAGAUCUUCCA
rnacentral:tRNA from 1 species